rnacentral:rRNA from 1 species
AACGCGAAGAACCUUACCUGGGCUCGAACGGCUUUGGAAAUCCGUGGAAACACGGCCCUCCCCUUAAAAGGACCGGAGUCGAGGUGCUGCAUGGCUGUCGUCAGCUCGUGUCGUGAGAUGUUGGGUUAAGUCCCGCAACGAGCGCAACCCUUGUCCUGUGUUGCCACUCCCGCAAGGGAAGCACUCUCAGGAGACCGCCAGCGAUAAGCUGGAGGAAGGUGGGGAUGAUGUCAAGUCAUCAUGGCCUUUAUGUCCAGGGCUACACACGUGCUACAAUGGGCGGUACAAAGCGCUGCAAACCCGCGAGGGGGAGCCAAUCGCAAAAAACCGUUCUCAGUUCGGAUCGCAGGCUGCAACUCGCCUGCGUGAAGCUGGAAUCGCUAGUAAUGGCGUAUCAGAAUGAUGCCGUGAAUACGUUCCCGGGCCUUGUA